UACAGAGGUCUCAAGCGUUGUUCGGAUUCAUUGGGCGUAAAGGGUGUGUAGGUGGCGCGCUAAGUCGGGUGUGAAAUUUCGGAGCUUAACUCCGAAACUGCAUUCGAUACUGGCGUGCUUGAGGACUGGAGAGGAGACUGGAAUUUACGGUGCAGCAGUGAAAUGCGUAGAUAUCGUAAGGAAGACCAGUGGCGAAGGCGGGUCUCUGGACAGUUCCUGACACUGAGACACGAAGGCCAGGGGAGCAAACGGG
rnacentral:rRNA from 1 species